CUGCCACUGAGGAGUCCCACAACAGAACGAAUCGGCCGUCCGGUAC
rnacentral:hammerhead_ribozyme from 1 species